ACGAACGCUGGCGGCAGGCUUAACACAUGCAAGUCGAACGCUCCGCAAGGAGAAUGGCAGACGGGUGAGUAACGCGUGGGAAUCUACCCAUCUCUACGGAAUAACUCAGGGAAACUUGUGCUAAUACCGUAUACGCCCUUCGGGGGAAAGAUUUAUCGGAGAUGGAUGAGCCCGCGUUAGAUUAGCUAAUUAGUGGGGUAAAGGCCUACCAAGGCGACGAUCCAUAGCUGGUCUGAGAGGAUGAUCAGCCACAUUGGGACUGAGACACGGCCCAAACUCCUACGGGAGGCAGCAGUGGGGAAUAUUGGACAAUGGGCGCAAGCCUGAUCCAGCCAUGCCGCGUGAGUGAUGAAGGCCCUAGGGUUGUAAAGCUCUUUCACCGGUGAAGAUAAUGACGGUAACCGGAGAAGAAGCCCCGGCUAACUUCGU
rnacentral:rRNA from 1 species